rnacentral:rRNA from 1 species
GAAAGUUCCCUUCGGGGAGCGAGUAAAGUGGCGGACGGGUGAGUAACACGUGGGUAAUCUGCCCUUGAGUGGGGAAUAACUCUGGGAAACCGGAGCUAAUACCGCAUACGAUCCUUCGGGAUGAAAGCUUUAUGCGCUCAAGGAUGAGCCCGCGGUCGAUUAGCUAGUUGGUGGGGUAAUGGCUCACCAAGGCGACGAUCGAUAGCCGGCCUGAGAGGGCACACGGCCACACUGGCACUGAGACACGGGCCAGACUCCUACGGGAGGCAGCAGUGGGGAAUCUUGGUCAAUGGGGGAAACCCUGAACCAGCGACGCCGCGUGACCGAUGAAGGCCCUCGGGUCGUAAAGGUCUUUCGACGGGGACUAUAAUGAAGGUACCCGUAAAAGCAGGAGCGGCUAACUAUGUGCCAGCAGCCGCGGUAAUACAUAGGCUCCAAGCGUUGUUCGGAAUUACUGGGCGUAAAGCGAGUGUAGGCUGUCCGCCAAGUCGAUUGUGAAAUCUCCCGGCUCAACUGGGAGGCUGCGGUCGAAACUGGCGGGCUAGAGUUCGGGAGAGGAGAGUGGAAUUCCUGGUGUAGCGGUGAAAUGCGUAGAUAUCAGGAGGAACACCGGCGGUGAAGACGGCUCUCUGGACCGAUACUGACGCUGAGACUCGAAAGCGUGGGGAGCAAACAGGAUUAGAUACCCUGGUAGUCCACGCCCUAAACGAUGCGUACUUGGUGUAGGUGCUUCAUUGCAUCUGUGCCGCAGCUAACGCGCUAAGUACGCCGCCUGGGGAGUACGGUCGCAAGGCUGAAACU